AUAAUAUUUAAAACUUUCAUCUUGGUUCUGGCAUCGAUGAAGAACGCAGCGAAAUGCGAUAAGUAAUGUGAAUUGCAGAAUUCAGUGAAUCAUCGAAUCUUUGAACGCACAUUGCGCCCCUUGGUAUUCCGAGGGGCAUGCCUGUUCGAGCGUCAUUAU
rnacentral:rRNA from 1 species